rnacentral:lncRNA from 1 species
UGUGCUGCUCUGGUUGGUGAAGACCAGCCUCUUUGCCCAGAUCUUCCUGAACUUGAUCUUUCUGAACUAGAUGUGAACGACUUGGAUACAGACAGCUUUCUGGGUGGACUCAAGUGGUGCAGUGACCAAUCAGAAAUAAUAUCCAAUCAGUACAACAAUGAGCCUUCAAACAUAUUUGAGGUGAUAUAAUGGUAAAAUAAAGUUGAAAAAAGCACAUAGAAAAACCAAAACUGUGUGAACAGCAGAGCUGCUUGCCUGAGAGGCUGAUGAACGUGAACUAAAUAGCUUCAAGCUACAAUGUACAGUGGGCAGCAUAGCAAUAAAUCUAAGCAAAGCACACAAAACAUCUUCUAUUAAUAAAUAGUUCAUUGAAAUGAUAA